CAACUAGUUAGGGAUUAAGGAUUAGUUGAGUUGAGUUGAGUUAUAUUAUUUUAUUUUGAGGAUGUUAAAUGAUAUGUGGAUCAAUUAUGAUGGUCAUGCCUUGAGGUUAGCAUGUCCAAAUUUCGGGUCAUGCCACACCAACUCCAAUUCAAGAGAGUUAUCAGCAAUGCAAGGAAGCUUUAUCUGCAACACAAAAACUAAAUAUACUUAUGAAAAGAAAUUCCCAUAUCUUCAAUAUUCUACUUGUACUGCACUGAUAGAAUAUAAGAUUUCUUGGAUUUUUUUUAAAUCUAUACAUUCUUUUCCUUGCUAGCCUCGACAAGUGGAUUGGCUGCCGAAAUGAGGACAAAGUUAUUUCACAUAAUCUAGGAUGCAUGUUCACCCACAAGGCAUCUAAGAAAAAUGGUAUUGGUUUGCAAGACUAUUGGAGUUUGUGCUUUAAGAAAAAUAUACGUGAUUGAAAAAACAUGAAAUAUAUGAUAGGAAGAGGUGCAUAAUCAUCAAGAAGUGGGUUGCAGAAUAUAGUUUGAUGGAGGUUAACAGGGAAAAGGAGUCUGCUAUCCAAAAUCUGUAUUUCAGCAUAUCUGAUUGGCAAACUAUACUAGAAAAAGAACAUUGUUAAAAUAAUCAGUAAAGUAUGAAGCUCCAUUGCAGGGCA
rnacentral:lncRNA from 1 species